rnacentral:rRNA from 1 species
UACGUAGGUGGCAAGCGUUGUCCGGAUUUACUGGGCGUAAAGGGCGUGCAGGCGGUCUGUUAAGUUCAGGGUGAAAGCUCCCGGCUCAACUGGGAGAGGUCCUUGGAUACUGGCAGACUUGAGGGAGGUAGAGGAGAGUGGUAUUCCCGGUGUAGUGGUGAUAUGCGUAGAUAUCGGGAGGAACACCAGUGGCGAAGGCGGCUCUCUGGGCCUUUCCUGACGCUGAGACGCGAAAGCGUGGGGAGCGAACCGG